GCUCAGGACGAACGCUGGCGGCGUGCCUAAUACAUGCAAGUCGAACGAAGCUUUCUUUCACCGAAUGCUUGCAUUCACCGAAAGAAGCUUAGUGGCGAACGGGUGAGUAACACGUAGGCAACCUGCCCAAAAGAGGGGGAUAACACUUGGAAACAGGUGCUAAUACCGCAUAACCAUGAACACCGCAUGAUGUUCAUGUAAAAGACGGCUUUUGCUGUCACUUUUGGAUGGGCCUGCGGCGUAUUAACUUGUUGGUGGGGUAACGGCCUACCAAGGUGAUGAUACGUAGCCGAACUGAGAGGUUGAUCGGCCACAUUGGGACUGAGACACGGCCCAAACUCCUACGGGAGGCAGCAGUAGGGAAUCUUCCACAAUGGACGAAAGUCUGAUGGAGCAACGCCGCGUGAAUGAAGAAGGCCUUCGGGUCGUAAAAUUCUGUUGUCAGAGAAGAACGUGCGUGAGAGUAACUGUUCACGUAUUGACGGUAUCUGACCAGAAAGCCACGGCUAACUACGUGCCAGCAGCCGCGGUAAUACGUAGGUGGCGAGCGUUGUCCGGAUUUAUUGGGCGUAAAGGGAACGCAGGCGGUCUUUUAAGUCUGAUGUGAAAGCCUUCGGCUUAACCGAAGUAGUGCAUUGGAAACUGGAAGACUUGAGUGCAGAAGAGGAGAGUGGAACUCCAUGUGUAGCGGUGAAAUGCGUAGAUAUAUGGAAGAACACCAGUGGCGAAAGCGGCUCUCUGGUCUGUAACUGACGCUGAGGUUCGAAAGCGUGGGUAGCAAACAGGAUUAGAUACCCUGGUAGUCCACGCCGUAAACGAUGAGUGCUAAGUGUUGGAGGGUUUCCGCCCUUCAGUGCUGCAGCUAACGCAUUAAGCACUCCGCCUGGGGAGUACGGUCGCAAGACUGAAACUCAAAGGAAUUGACGGGGGCCCGCACAAGCGGUGGAGCAUGUGGUUUAAUUCGAAGCAACGCGAAGAACCUUACCAGGUCUUGACAUCUUCUGACAAUUCCAGAGAUGGAACGUUCCCUUCGGGGACAG
rnacentral:rRNA from 1 species